AGUGAACGCUGGCGGUAGGCCUAACACAUGCAAGUCGAACGGCAGCACAGUAAGAGCCUGCUCUUACGGGUGGCGAGUGGCGGACGGGUGAGGAAUACAUCGGAAUCUACUUUUUCGUGGGGGAUAACGUAGGGAAACUUACGCUAAUACCGCAUACGACCUACGGGUGAAAGCAGGGGAUCUUCGGACCUUGCGCGAUUGAAUGAGCCGAUGUCGGAUUAGCUAGUUGGCGGGGUAAAGGCCCACCAAGGCGACGAUCCGUAGCUGGUCUGAGAGGAUGAUCAGCCACACUGGAACUGAGACACGGUCCAGACUCCUACGGGAGGCAGCAGUGGGGAAUAUUGGACAAUGGGCGCAAGCCUGAUCCAGCCAUACCGCGUGGGUGAAGAAGGCCUUCGGGUUGUAAAGCCCUCUUGUUGGGAAAGAAAAGCAGCAGGUUAAUACCCCGCUGUUCUGACGGUACCCAAAGAAUAAGCACCGGCUAACUUCGUG
rnacentral:rRNA from 1 species